rnacentral:rRNA from 1 species
UACGUAGGGGGCUAGCGUUGUCCGGAAUCAUUGGGCGUAAAGCGCGUGUAGGCGGUCCGGUAAGUCCGCUGUGAAAGUCGGGGGCUCAACCCUCGGAUGCCGGUGGAUACUGUCGGGCUAGAGUCCGGAAGAGGCGAGUGGAAUUCCUGGUGUAGCGGUGGAAUGCGCAGAUAUCAGGAGGAACACCAACGGCGAAGGCAGCUCGCUGGGACGGUACUGACACUAAGGCGCGAAAGCGUGGGGAGCGAACAGG